UGCGUGAAGUUGGAAUCGCUAGUAAUCGCGGAUCAGCAUGCCGCGGUGAAUACGUUCCCGGGCCUUGUACACACCGCCCGUCACACCAUGAGAGUCGGGAACACCCGAAGUCCGUAGCCUAACAGCAAUGGGGGCGCGGCCGAAGGUGGGUUCGAUAAUUGGGGUGAAGUCGUAACAAGGUAAC
rnacentral:rRNA from 1 species